CCCUUAGAUGUCCGGGGCCGCACGCGCGCUACACUGAAGGAAUCAGCGUGGCUUUCUCCCUGACCCGAAAGGGUUGGGAAACCCGUUGAAUCUCCUUCGUGAUAGGGAUUGGGGCUUGAAAUAGUUCCCCAUGAACGAGGAAUUCCCAGUAAGCGCGAGUCAUAAGCUCGCGUUGAUUACGUCCCUGCCCUUUGUACACACCGCCCGUCGCUACUACCGAUUGAACGGUUUAGUGAGGGCCUCGGAUUGGUCUCGGCCCGCUCUUUACCGGGCGGCGCCGUUGGUCGAGAAGACGCUCGAACUUGAUCGUUUAGAGGAAGUAAAAGUCGUAACA
rnacentral:rRNA from 1 species